CGCCGCCGCCGCCUGCCGAUCUCCUCCGACGAUCUCGCGACGGCCGUUCUCCUCCGCGCGGUGUCCCUGCAGCCACUUCAUCCUCCGUAUCAGAUCCUACUGAAGAAGUCUUGCGAUCAGGAGCAGAUCACAAGUGAGCGGGAGAUCUGACACAGGCACUCCUCUUCCUCUUCCCUGGCCCUUCCUAGGUCGACCUCGCAUUCCAGCCUGUUCACUGCGUGCUUCUGCUUCUGCUGCUACGGGUCCUGCAAGUGCAGCCUCGACCUUGAGUUCCUCUGAUAACCGC